AACUUGAAGUUAAAAGAUAAUAUAAAUUUUUAAAUAAUA
rnacentral:guide_RNA from 1 species